UACGUAGGGUGCGAGCGUUGUCCGGAAUUAUUGGGCGUAAAGAGCUCGUAGGCGGUUUGUUGCGUCGGCUGUGAAAUCCCGAGGCUCAACCUCGGGUCUGCAGUCGAUACGAGCAAACUAGAGUGUUGCAGGGGAGACUGGAAUUCCUGGUGUAGCGGUGAAAUGCGCAGAUAUCAGGAGGAACACCGGUGGCGAAGGCGGGUCUCUGGGCAACAACUGACGCUGAGGAGCGAAAGCGUGGGGGAGCGAACAGG
rnacentral:rRNA from 1 species